UCCUUAUUAAAGAAGAUACAAGACCCAGAAAGAUUCACAUAUGCUUAGCUCCUUGGAGAGGAUGAAAUAGGAACAAGAUAAGUGGAAAGAUUUCUUUAUCAAACUAAGUAACAGCCAGACUCAAAUUAAGAAUUGGAAAUUAUUUUCUAGAAACUUGCUGCUGUGAGCUGUUGACAGUCUGGACCCACCAGCUCCCUGCUCAUGGCCAGUAAUGGCAGCAGAAAAUUUAGAAUAAUUGGCGUGAAUGAAAUGAAGAAAGUUCCAACCAAUUGCCAGAGAAAAAUGGAAGAGCACAUGUGCCUUUUCAGUCUGCAUUAUUUCAGACUCAUUUAUUUUCUUGAUAUAACAUUUCUAUUUUAUUUCAUGGUAACAAGAAUUCUCCUUCCUUCCUCUCCUUACAAUUUAUAGUUAAUACUAAAGUUAUAAUUACACUUCUUUUAAAUGCUGCUGGACAAAUCUUAUAGAUUUGGAUGAGAAUCAAAUACAAUUAUUGUUGAAUUCAGUCUGUGGGAGCAGAUAAGGUUUUAUAAUAUAUACUUUACUGAUGACACAAACUUGACUUUUUUCAGUGCUAAUUGGAGUUGACCACAGCUAGUUGGUCAAAAGGAGCACUGUUUCUCACCAUUUUCAGGAACAGGAAUCUAUUCCUUAUUUGCUAAGAGAUGAAGAUUACAACAAAGCGAUAGGUCUGGAAUACUGUCCUAUGUGCAAUAAAUUUGUACAAGAGAACUACAGAGCUAUGAAAAAGCUUUUAUGGAAGCCCUGAAUUUAGUUUCUGUGUUCUCAGCCAUUCCUAGUGUCUGGGAUACAUUUAAAAACAGUAUAUAUCUUCACCCUUCUAUUGGUUUAAGAAAUGCUUCUGUCCGAAAGUCUGUAUAUGACAUGGAAAGCAUGCAUUUCCUUCACAGUCAUAACAGCAGGAAGUCAUUUACAUGGUUGUUCCUGCUAGGGUGUUCAGUAUUAUUUUGGACAUGUAAAGGAGUCAUCUGGUUACGUGCAAUUUUGUUGAUACUGAUGGAACAUGCCCUUUUCUGAGACAGAUUAUGCCUUCUUGCUUGUACACAGAUUAUGCUUGCUUGCUUGCAAUGUCCCCUCAGUCUUCCCUUGGUGUAGUUUCACAGUAUUACUCUAAUCGGGAACCUUUCAUUUUGCUCCUUGCAGUGCUGAGAAAUGCAUAUAUUCAAAUUUAACAUGGCAGCUUAGUUACCUGCAUGUUGCUAACAUUUUAGGAUAUAGCCCAUAGGCCUGUCUGAACACUGAGGACAAUAUAGGGAAGAAAAUGCAGGUGUGUGGAGUAGACAACUGGAUACUUUAAAUGGGAAGAACAGGGAAUGACCAGCAAUUCAAGUUAAGGAACAUACAAAAGGUCACAGUAAUAAAGUUUACUGCCAUCUUUCAGAGGUAAAUGAGGCACUAAAAUGCUGGCUCCUCUCUCUUGUGGCAAAGAUAGAAACAAAUGUAGGAUGUGCCCUUUCUUGUUCUCGUUUAUUUAACAUGAACAACACAAGCUUAUUUCAUUUUCACCUUCUAAACAUGUACUUAUUGGUGGCUCUUUUUAAAAGAAAAAAUUAGUAUAAAACAAUUCAGCUGUCUGUCCUUCAAACUACUAAACUGCUAAGUAAAGACAAGGGAAAGCUGCUUAGAUUUAAGUAUAUUCAUGAAGGAAAAGCUAAAGAAAUCUGGGACUAGGAAGCUGGCUAAAGGAGAACAGCACUUAGUUAAAUGCUCAUACGGUUCCCAUAGAUUAUUAAAAAGCAUAUGGCUUUGUGAGCUAACUGUCUGGGUCCUGUGGGUUUGUGCUAUUAAGCAGAAGUGUCUUGGGAAAGGGAAGGGAAACUGAAGGCUCUUUUCCCCAGACUGCAACUGCCUGCCACUGAGCCAAGCUUGAUAUUUAUUCAAUCUGAGUAUUGGCUUGGAUUUCUGAAAAGGAAAUUUUGGAAGCCUGCCUCGUUCAUCAAAAAUAAUUUAAGGUGCCACCACAGAGGCAAGAGAGCUUCUCAUUAUUGUUUCGUGUAUUUUAUGAUGUUGGCACUCUUCCUGAAAUAAUUUGAGAAUUGCAGAUAUAAUAAUAUUUUGGGUUGUAGAAAAAUAGAUCUCAACAAUGAAAUUCAAUGAAUUUUAUCUAGGUUUUGGUAAUGUGCCUCUUCCUCAGUAAAUACAACUUUUUCUGGAAACUAAAUCCUUACUCUGAACAAUAGCAUCAUUAUGUCAAGCACUUCUGUACAAAACUGAAGUAUAGCAAUUAGCAAGAAAUUAAAAAAAUAAUGUGAGUGCUCUUAUGAAAUUCUAUGGACUAUCAGCAAAGGACUUUAAAAGCACAACCUACUGAACUACAGAUUCUUAAAAUAAACAACUUGAACAUUUCUGUGUGACAAAAGCCAUUUUUUGUUCCCUGCAGACAUUCUCCAACUGAGCUUGCCAGUGAGAACAGCAAGUCUGUUCCAGUGCUUGAUAACCCUUUUGGUGAAGAAAUUUUUCCUAAUAUCCAGUCUAAACCUCCCCUGGAGCAACUUGAGACCAUUUCCUCUCGUCCUAUCAGUUGUUACUUGGGAAAAGAGACCAAUACCCACCUCGCUACAACCUCCUUUCAGGUCUGUUCUUUGCCAUCUUACAUGUUAGAGGGCCUUUGGAACAUCAAACUAUUCUUACCGGAUUCAGUCUGACAAAGUUGAAACUUCGUUGUCAUCAUCAAGGAUCCAAACUGCAUCACAGCUGAAGUUGAGUUUAUAGUUUUCAUCUUAUCAUCAAAACAUCAAGCAUGCUGCACUUCAGUCACUCUGUAACUGUGAUAGCCGAGGGAGGGUGUCUUUUUAACCAAAAAUAGCAAACAGAUUGGUUUUGAUAUACCACUGGAGCUGGAAUAAUUCAUUAAAGAGUGAAUCUGUUGGCCUCAAACACGUAGGAUCUACCUAGUGUAGUGUGGCAGAGUGUCUAAUUGUUUUACCUGCGUGAGCAUGGAGAAGAUAUGAUGAAGUGGGAUGGAAAACCUACCUCGGUCCUAGAUGCACGGCAGAGUACCGGCCACAGUUUGCUUUCACUUGGAGGGGCGUCCAGUACACCUGGAAUCGACUGCCCAGGGGUGGAAACACAGCCCCACCAUUUGCCAUAGCCUAAUUCAGACUGCACUGGAACA